UACGUAGGCGGAAAAUUAAGUCAGUAGUGAAAUCCUGCAGCUUAACUGUAGAACUGUUAUUGAUACUGGUUUUCUUGAAUAUAGUUGAGGUAGGCGGAAUGUGUAAUGUAGCGGUGAAAUGCUUAGAUAUUACACAGAACACCGAUUGCGAAGGCAGCUUACUAAGCUAUGAUUGGCGCUGAGGUACGAAAGCGUGGGGAGCGAACAGGAUUAGAUACCCUGGUAGUCC
rnacentral:rRNA from 1 species